GCGACAACAUAGUGCAUCGAUAAGAUUCUCAAAGCAUUAUUAGCUCACAAACGACUCCAUCCGUGUUCUUCGGUUGACUGAGAACAUGCAAGGUAAUUGAAAGAACACGGCACUAGAAUCAAGAACACUGCAUUCCAUAGUAAGAAUGAUGCUUGGUUAGAUGUGAGCUUAAAGGUCCAGCACCAUCGCUACAGUCACGUUCACCUUUCUAAAGGAGCUAGAGCUGAACCAUGAACAUGGUCUUCCCCUGCCUCAAUUCUCAACUCUAUCGUUCCUUUCUACUUCCCUUCCCGGACCUCCCACCAGAUUCUUAUUCCUAUCUAUUUCUUUCGAAUUUGGUUUCCCAGCAAUUUCAGAUGCUGCAGGUUUUCCCCAACAACAAGGAAUGAGACAAUCAUAAAAAAUUGAAGAAAAACAAACAGUCAAAAACUCAAUCUUUCAAGUCAAAGCAACAUUACUAACAGUGGUAGAACUCUCUCUAUCCCUCACAAAGAAGAAAGAACAAGAAGAAGAGAUCCACGACCUAUCAAUCACAAGCAACCCAAUAGAAAAGAACACCAAAGGAGAGCUUUUUGUUGACGCAUGUGCAACAUGGGGAUGGCAGCAGUGAGCAGCGAGAGAGCGUGAGCGAAAACCCUACCCCCGAGAAGCCAGAGAGGAAGGGCGAAAUCAGCGGGCGGCCAAGGGAACGGGGGCGCGGACCCGCAGGGCGUGGGCCGGCGGGGGGAGGGGCGGCGGCGGGGAGGCGAAGGGGAGACGCCGCAGGAUGAGGAAACGGAUGCGCCAGGGUAAGAGGGCGACGUGGAGCAACUGCUCCAGCACCCGCGCCACCAGCGCCGUGUACUCCUCCAGCAGCUCCACCCCGAUGGCGACGAGUAUCAUUUCUUCUCUUCUCCAAUACACCAAGUCCUCGUUCUCCUCAAACAAAUAUCUAGGUUCCGUUCGGAUCCGAUCGCGCGAUAUCCGGCGAUAAACCUUUUACCGCUUCCUUUCUUGCUCAAGAUUUGACAGCACAGGUGACGGAAAGCUUCGGACUUAUUUCAGUGAUCGGUUGGUAACUCCUCGCUAUAUAUAUGUCAGGAUUUAUAUAGAUAAGACAAAGAUCAAUCGAUGUGAAGGGGUAUACAUUUCUGAAGCAGCGGGAAACGUCUUCCUAUGUGCUACCGCUGCUGGGAUCGAAACUUGGACAACUAUGUGAGCGAGUCGACGGUAUCGGUUUGAAGGACCAAACCGCAUAAACUGAAGACACAACGCGAUCGUUUUAGCCUCUUUUCGAAGGCGCCGCCCCCUUCGAUCUUAUCCGUUUCCAAAACCAGAUGUCGUCACCACCUUGCACGAGAGGCAGCCUGCCCUUCUAUUAAUUACGAACUAUGGAACUUUCCGGAGGUUCUCAUUCGGUCAGGGUAGGCCCCGCAUUUCUCUCCAAUUGUAAGACCGGUAAUCUGCUGGGGUAAACUAAUACGAUAGGAAGAGCACAGGUCCUGUUUCCCGGUUUCAACGUUGGCUUAGGCUGACGCAGGGUGAGGCUUAGGUGGGAGCGGGCGACUUCGGGUAUUGAGAUAGUGGCUUUAUUGUUCCGGAUAUAAUAAUUAUUAUUAUUAUUAUUUUCACUAUUGUUUGGACGGAUGGCUGUGAUGUAGUGGCGGGAAGGAGUUAGUAAGAUGGGAUGAUGAUCAUGAUGAAACUAUACAAAAUUAAUCUAGUGAUUCUGGCCGCUACAAAUCAGGGGUAGCCCCAUGUAUGGCUCGCCAUUGUUUUGUUUGACUUAAU
rnacentral:lncRNA from 1 species